rnacentral:rRNA from 1 species
UGGAGAGUUUGAUCCUGGCUCAGGACGAACGCUGGCGGCGUGCCUAAUACAUGCAAGUCGAGCGGACCGACGGGAGCUUGCUCCCUUAGGUUAGCGGCGGACGGGUGAGUAACACGUGGGUAACCUGCCUGUAAGACUGGGAUAACUCCGGGAAACCGGGGCUAAUACCGGAUGCUUGAUUGAACCGCAUGGUUCAAUUAUAAAAGGUGGCUUUUAGCUACCACUUACAGAUGGACCCGCGGCGCAUUAG